rnacentral:snoRNA from 1 species
GAAAUGACGACGUCUGGCUCUCUGCAUGCAAUUAAGCCAACGUGCGCAGUGUGAAUGAAGGUGAAGUUUAUUCUCAGAAACCGAUCUUUGUGAACGCAAUUUA